rnacentral:rRNA from 1 species
GGGUGACAGCCCCGUACACAAAAGCGCAUGUGCUGUGAGCUCGAUGAGUAGGGCGGGACACGUGGUAUCCUGUCUGAAUAUGGGGGGACCAUCCUCCAAGGCUAAAUACUCCUGACUGACCGAUAGUGAACCAGUACCGUGAGGGAAAGGCGAAAAGAACCCCGGCGAGGGGAGUGAAAAAGAACCUGAAACCGUGUACGUACAAGCAGUGGGAGCACAGGUUUACCUGUGUGACUGCGUACCUUUUGUAUAAUGGGUCAGCGACUUAUAUUCUGUAGCAAGGUUAACCGAAUAGGGGAGCCGGAGGGAAACCGAGUCUUAAUUGGGCGUUAAGUUGCAGGGUAUAGACCCGAAACCCGGUGAUCUAGCCAUGGGCAGGUUGAAGGUUGGGUAACACUAACUGGAGGACCGAACCGACUAAUGUUGAAAAAUUAGCGGAUGACCUGUGGCUGGGGGUGAAAGGCCAAUCAAACCGGGAGAUAGCUGGUUCUCCCCGAAAGCUAUUUAGGUAGCGCCUCGUGAAUUCAUCUCCGGGGGUAGAGCACUGUUUCGGCUAGGGGGCCAUCCCGGCUUACCAACCCGAUGCAAACUGCGAAUACCGGAGAAUGUUAUCACGGGAGACACACGGCGGGUGCUAACGUCCGUCGUGAAGAGGGAAACAACCCAGACCGCCAGCUAAGGUCCCAAAGUCAUGGUUAAGUGGGAAACGAUGUGGGAAGGCCCAGACAGCCAGGAUGUUGGCUUAGAAGCAGCCAUCAUUUAAAGAAAGCGUAAUAGCUCACUGGUCGAGUCGGCCUGCGCGGAAGAUGUAACGGGGCUAAACCAUGCACCGAAGCUGCGGCAGCGAACGUAUCACCCAAGACAACUUUACGGAGUUGACGAUUGACGGAGCGAAGCGACGUCAAAGCGUUCAUUAAAGUCGAGUUGGCUUAGGGAUACGUUCGUUGGGUAGGGGAGCGUUCUGUAAGCCUGUGAAGGUGUGUCGUGAGGCAUGCUGGAGGUAUCAGAAGUGCGAAUGCUGACAUAAGUAACGAUAAAGCGGGUGAAAAGCCCGCUCGCCGGAAGACCAAGGGUUCCUGUCCAACGUUAAUCGGGGCAGGGUGAGUCGACCCCUAAGGCGAGGCCGAAAGGCGUAGUCGAUGGGAAACGGGUUAAUAUUCCCGUACUUGGUGUUACUGCGAAGGGGGGACGGAGAAGGCUAUGUUGGCCGGGCGACGGUUGUCCCGGUUUAAGCGUGUAGGUGUGUGUUCCAGGUAAAUCCGGUU